UGUAUUUUAUUCUUCAUUAAACACUUGGUCUUGUUUCGAAGGAUGGUAGCAGAAUUAGACACUAAGACAAACCAUUCCAAGGGCUGGUCACGGACACCACACCCAGGGCAUGGCGGGAGAAGGCGAGGCUGGGGGAGGCUGUCCCUUGGGGAGGCUUCUAGGGCCAGCCGGGCUCCUGCAGAGGACCCAGCUUAGCCGACGAGGGAGGAGGAAGUCACGUGCUGCGAGCAGGAGGUGGGAAGAACCUUGUGUUGCUGGAGCAUGGGAUGCAUGGUGGGAAACUCCAGGCACAGAGAGAGGACAGGGCGGCAGCGGCUUCCUGUCCAGCGUGUGGGUUUCAUCUUGUGGGCAGUGGGGGCCCUGGGGGGUGGUUUCAGCCAAAGGGAGGAAGGGUCCCUUCUGCCUUGUAGACAGCUUGUGAGCUUGGCUCAAGAGCAUGUGCAGUCGGAAGCCCUUGCCACUUUCCAGAAGAGGGGUAGGUGGGAGCUGGAGCUAAGAUACAGGCUUUAUGCAUAGUAUGGUUGCACCAUGUGCGUGGACGCACCUACACGUUUGUGUGUGAUGCAGUUCUCCAAAGGCCGCAGGAGACCAUUUACACGGAUUCUUCCAUGGAGCUACCUGCUUGAGCUGGCUCUACCCACAGAACUCAUCUCUCCCUUUUAGAAAGAAAGUCUUUCUAAAGUCUUUCUUGAGUGCCCUACCUGGCAUUGAUAGCAAUGUUUCAGUAUCAGUAAAUUUGAAGCGUGAGGUAGGUCGGACACAAGCAGCGCACGUCUCCUAUGUGUGUUCUUGUUUUUAGGGAAGCAGUUCUUCCUCAUUCCUUUGGGGGCCGACUUGCUGCUUGUCUCUUCUUUGAAAUAUUGUCUGCGAUCUGCUUUCCUCUGAGACUGUAGUCUGGGGAAGGGGAUGCCCGGGGUUAGUUCACCUUUUCCAUCUUUAACCAUUCACUUUUUAAAAAAAAUCCCCAAUUCUUAAGAGUUUCCAGAAAAACUCCCAAGCAGCAAAACUUAUGAAGAGACUUAAUCUCCUCUCUGUGACCGCAGGCGGCCUGAUGUGUUCUCCUGUGCCCCGUGCCUUUCCAACAGGAGGCUGAAGGGCCCGGUCCUGCUGGGGACAGGGUGGGGUUGCGCCCGGUGCGGCGUUGAUGAUGCCCUGAAUUCUGCCUGGGAGGGAAGCUUGUGGGGGUUGCUGUUGGAGCCGCAUCAGUCACAGGGAUUUGGGGAGUGGGGUGGGGCGCCCCAAGGACUCGGUAGGGGCGUGACGAGAGGAGGCGACAAGGAUGUUGUGUCAAUGCAAACUCCGCUCAGAGCACAUUGAUUUCGCAGGCCCCAAAGAGGAGUCCAUGAGGAGGUGCAGUCCAGCCACACAGUUUCCUGCGGGAAAGUGGAACCCCACCAGGGGUGGGAGCCCCGCUCAGCGCUGCAGGGUUCACAAACCCAAGUGCCAGACAGGAGGUGAGAGGCCCUGGGAUUGGUUCUCUGCUUGGUCCUGUGCUCCCUGAGAGCACUGGAGUGGAUCUCUCCAAGCCUCGGUUUCUCAUGCACAUCCCAGCAGGACAUUAUGAAGGCUCUGUCCAUGAAUGGAUUUCGUGCUGUCCCAAAGCAGCUAGUCAAUGAUACAAGGAGAUGAAGAGCCACACAGCUGUGGCUGAAGUCGCUGGGCUACUAGCGUGGUAUUUUCUGUUCCCUCACGACAGGAAUCAGUAGUGGACCCUGCUGUCUGAGCCCCAGGUUCCUGUUCUUCGCAGUGAUAAGCGGGCUCAGAGGGGUCACUCCGGCUGUUCAGCUCAGCCCUCUGGUGCCCAGAAGUGUGCCGGGAGGACACAGUUGUGUGUUCCAUCCAUCUGAGUCAGCAGACACAGCAGAGGAAGAGGCCGGGGUGUGGUGGGGCACAAGACAACCAGACGAGGGUGGUAGGAAGUGGCAUCGCUUGUAAAGUGACAGGCCACAGGCUGAGACCAGCCAAGAGAGGAGAAUUACUCAGGGCCUACAUCCAGUUCCCAUGUGAGAUCCAAAACCAACUCCCCAAGCCCUGUUGAAGUUGGCUAGUGACAAUCCACAAACCACAGGCUCCAGAGAUGGGAGCCAGAGAAGCCACCCACAGGAGGAGGGGGGAUACAGAGAGAAAGUUGGCUCAGACCCCUGCACGAUCAGGCCCAUAGGACGGCUGCACCCCCGCUGCAGGGUUCUAUGCUAAGUGGAGUUCACAGCUGCUCAGGUGGGCAGGGAGCUGAGCGCGACCCUCUCCAGGUCUGCGUGAAGACGAGGCGGAAGCCCCAGGUCCCUGGGAAGGUCUCCGUUGUGGGGUUUCCAAACUCAGAGCACACCACGGAGGAGGCUUGGUUUGGAAAACUCUCCAGACCCUUGGUCACGUUGCUGUCUUUCAGCUAAAACACAGGGUUAGCUGGAUUUCCUUCCAGACUUCAAAGAUCUGGGCAUGUUGCAUGCAACAUUUCCUCUGGAGGGGUCCCCAAGCAAAACAAAAAUAUUACCCCUAUCUGGUGAACUGAGAAAGAAAAUCUCCCGUCAGUGAAGAUCUGAGUGCCCAGCAAGCGUGCGGCACAUGGAGAAAGGCCUCGCCUCCGCACGGGGAAGCCACAGCAAGAAAGAAGUCAGAGCAGGAUGAGGCAGGUCUGAAAGCCUGUGGAACUGGACAAAUUAGAGGGGGACCGUAACAGUCACCUGUCCAUUCCCUCACCCUGAGGUAGGGUCACACAUGAGUCACAGUGCUUGGAAGCACACAUACACACAUGCACGCACGCACGCACGCACGCACACACGGAGCACCCUCCCCCAAUAACUCACUGCAAUUAGGAGCUGCAUUUCCCAGUUUGUGGGCUGGACUUAGAGACCCAGCAAAAGGGACUCUUGAGAACAGAAAGGAAUUCCACAACGGUGAGGUUAGGGCCGCAGUCUCUAAAGCGAGGUGGUUUUAGAAAGGGAGGGUCCCCAGGCUCUCAGGGGCGCUGGGGUGAGUGGGGAUAGGGUGGGGGCUGAGGGGAGGAAGGGAGCUGCCUGGAAGCCCUGGAGACGAGUGGGCGCCCGCCCUGGGCUUUACCUUCUUCGCAGCACCCCCGUCUGCACAGCCUGGGGCCCUAAGUUGCUCUGUUUUCUCCACCCAUCUCUGAAAACCUUCCUGCUCCGAGGCUACUUCAAAGCUGCUGGGAAAGCCAAGUUGCCAAUUAAGCCUCUUUCAGGCAGGUUCUCAUUCCUUCCUCACUAAUUGAAAUGUUACUCCUUUUACUAAACCCAUAAACCACCCAAACAGGGCGGUCUUUCUCAUUUGCAUUGUAACAAUGUCCCUGAUGUGCUCCGGAGAGCUGGCCGAGGAGGGGAACCCUUUCUCCAGCCCGGGUAGGAACGGUCAAAAGCAAUUCCGAGGCAAAGGCCUUCAUUUCCAUCCCUAUACCGCCGCUCAUUAGCUAAGGUGGGAUAAAUUCCUUUUCCUCGGAUCCGCUUCCCGGGAUGAUAAUGUCUUUUUGUCUCAGGCCGCAGUUCCCAAACUAGACCUUAAUUGCUGAUAGUACUGAGUUAAUACACGUUUACGGCUGGGGAAGGUUAAAGAAGGUCUCCUGUCGUUUUAUUUGAGACAUUUUA